UACGUAGGUGACAAGCGUUGUCCGGAUUUACUGGGCGUAAAGAGCGCGCAGGCGGUCGUUCAAGUCGAGUGUGAAAGCCCCCGGCUCAACUGGGGAGGGUCAUUCGAUACUGAUUGACUCGAAGGCAGGAGAGGGAAGUGGAAUUCCCGGUGUAGUGGUGAAAUGCGUAGAUAUCGGGAGGAACACCAGUGGCGAAGGCGACUUCCUGGCCUGUUCUUGACGCUGAGGCGCGAAAGCUAGGGGAGCAAACGGG
rnacentral:rRNA from 1 species